rnacentral:rRNA from 1 species
AUUGAACGCUGGCGGCAUGCCUUACACAUGCAAGUCGAACGGUAACGGGCCUUCGGGUGCCGACGAGUGGCGAACGGGUGAGUAAUGCAUCGGAACGUACCUUUCAGUGGGGGAUAACGUAGCGAAAGUUACGCUAAUACCGCAUAUUCUGUGAGCAGGAAAGCAGGGGAUCGCAAGACCUUGCGCUGAUUGAGCGGCCGAUGUCAGAUUAGCUAGUUGGUGAGGUAAAGGCUCACCAAGGCGACGAUCUGUAGCGGGUCUGAGAGGAUGAUCCGCCACACUGGAACUGAGACACGGUCCAGACUCCUACGGGAGGCAGCAGUGGGGAAUUUUGGACAAUGGGGGGCAACCCUGAUCCAGCCAUGCCGCGUGAGUGAAGAAGGCCUCGGUU